ACCGAUAGUGAACCAGUACCGUGAGGGAAAGGCGAAAAGAACCCCGGCGAGGGGAGUGAAAAAGAACCUGAAACCGUGUACGUACAAGCAGUGGGAGCACGCUUAGGCGUGUGACUGCGUACCUUUUGUAUAAUGGGUCAGCGACUUAUAUUCUGUAGCAAGGUUAACCGAAUAGGGGAGCCGAAGGGAAACCGAGUCUUAACUGGGCGUUAAGUUGCAGGGUAUAGACCCGAAACCCGGUGAUCUAGCCAUGGGCAGGUUGAAGGUUGGGUAACACUAACUGGAGGACCGAACCGACUAAUGUUGAAAAAUUAGCGGAUGACUUGUGGCUGGGGGUGAAAGGCCAAUCAAACCGGGAGAUAGCUGGUUCUCCCCGAAAGCUAUUUAGGUAGCGCCUCGUGAAUUCAUCUCCGGGGGUAGAGCACUGUUUCGGCAAGGGGGUCAUCCCGACUUACCAACCCGAUGCAAACUGCGAAUACCGGAGAAUGUUAUCACGGGAGACACACGGCGGGUGCUAACGUCCGUCGUGAAGAGGGAAACAACCCAGACCGCCAGCUAAGGUCCCAAAGUCAUGGUUAAGUGGGAAACGAUGUGGGAAGGCCCAGACAGCCAGGAUGUUGGCUUAGAAGCAGCCAUCAUUUAAAGAAAGCGUAAUAGCUCACUGGUCGAGUCGGCCUGCG
rnacentral:rRNA from 1 species